AGCCAAUGCCGCAAAAUGGCGGCGGGGCGCAUGCUCGGGGAGGGGCGGGGCGGGGGAGGAGGAGGCGGGGGCGCGGCGCGCAUCAUGGCGGCGGCGGCGGGCUCGCUGUGGCGGUCGGGGGCUGUCAGGUGGGGCGGGGGGUGCCGCCGGCUGUGGGCGCCGCCGGCCGCCGCUGCUGCCUCCUCCUCCUCCUCCUCCUCCUCCUCCUCCUCCUCCUCCUCUCCCGCUCCGGGCGUGCUGAGCCCCUUCGAUCGGCGGCUGAAGCGGAAGCAGAAGAACUGGGCGGCGGUGCAGGCGCAGCGGGCGCAGUGCGAGUACCUGCGGGAGGAGGUCGGCGGCAGGGUGGCCGACAGGCUGCUGGACAUCCCCAGGACCUUCCCUCUCGCCUUGGACCUGGGCUCUGGGAGAGGUUACAUAGCGCAGCAUUUAACCAAGGAAAUUGUUGAAAAACUUGUUCAAGUUGAUAUGGCAGAGAAUGUUUUUAAAAAUGCUGUAGAAUCUGAAGUACCUACGAUCAACGUUGUAGCUGAUGAGGAAUUCCUUCCUUUCAAAGAAGAUACAUUUGAUCUUGUUGUUAGCAGCUUGAGUUUACACUGGGUGAAUGACCUUCCUAAGGCUUUUAGAGAGAUUCACCAAGUUCUUAAGCCAGAUGGAGUAUUUAUCGGUUCGAUGUUUGGGGGAGACACUCUCUAUGAGCUUCGCUGCUCUUUGCAGCUAGCAGAAUUAGAGAGAGAAGGGGGUUUUUCUCCUCAUGUAUCACCGUUCACUGCUGUAUCAGAUUUAGGACAUCUCCUGUCAAGAACUGGCUUUAACACUCUGACUGUGGAUACUGAUGAAAUUCAAGUAAACUACCCAGGGUUGUUUGAGAUAAUGGAAGACUUGCAAGGUCAUCUGCUGUUGUGUAGAGUCAAUACCUUAAUGAAAAUAGAACUUUAAUUCCCUGCAGAAGCAUUCAGAUACAGUAAGUGAUUAAGGAAAAUUAUCUAAGAUUAGGUUUAUGAUUUUUUCUUAUUAAAAAUCUUCUGGGGGUAUUUAGUUUUGAUGAUAAAAAUACGAGUUGUGUCUGAACAAACACUUUGUACUUGGUGGGUAAAAAAAAAAAUUAUUAGAAAAUCUAAAUGCUUGAACACUCUGGCUGGAAGGUAAUAAUCUGAAAUCAUUCCUAGCAAUACAAACAGUAAAUUGCAAAGCAUGGGCAUUAAGAGGCUUGGAUCUGUACAGGUAAGAAACUUCCCUGCUGUAGGUUGUACUCUUACAGUGAGAUUCAGAGGAUUCUGUACUUACUCUGGUGUAAUAAAAACCUGCCAUUAGUGCAUGACACUUAACUCAUGAUAUAUGCUGUAUCUUCUUUUCCUUAAAGCUGAAACAUAUUUUUAGGUAUGGGAGAGAGUAAUUGCUCUUGGAACAGAAAACCUCUGCUUCACAGGGAUACGAUGCUGGCAGCUGCAGCAAUAUACCGAGAAAUGUAUGGAAAUAGCGAUGGCACAGUACCUGCAACAUUUCAGAUCUUC